rnacentral:rRNA from 1 species
UACGGAGGGUGCAAGCGUUAUCCGGAUUCACUGGGUUUAAAGGGUGCGUAGGCGGGUAUGUAAGUCAGGGGUGAAAUCCCCGAGCUUAACUCGGGAACUGCCAUUGAUACUAUAUAUCUUGAAUGUUCUGGAGGUAUGCGGAAUAUGUCAUGUAGCGGUGAAAUGCUUAGAGAUGACAUAGAACACCUAUUGCGAAGGCAGCUGGCUACACGAAUAUUGACACUGAGGCACGAAAGCGUGGGGAUCAAACAGG